CAUACCUACUCCCGAUUUGUACUCUAAACCAAAUCACGGCACCAUCACGGUGGCGAUUGGAUCUGAGCUCUGGUCUUCGUCCGUGCUCACGGUGUCAUCGCGGCGUCAACACAUAGAAGCACGCCCGCACAGAGAAUAUCUCAGGGCACAAGGAUGAAUUCAAUGGAGGAUACUGCUGUAAGGAAAGACUCUAUUGUUUUUACAAGGACAGAAAGUAUAAAAGAAUACAUAAACAAGCGUGGACAACCCAAAUCUGGACCCAAAGAAUUAGCUGGACAUGGUUGAAGUAUUGGGAAAACGCAUAUAUUUUAGAGAUUUCAACCACCAUGGUAGCAAAUGGACUCAAACUCUGGCUACAUUUUACUUGAGUUGCAUUUGAUGGAUAUUUUCUAUGAGAAUCAUGAUUUGUAUGAACGUACAUAUUAUACCUAUGGAUUUGAAUUUUGUAAUUCAGUGGCUGUAUUUUUUUAUGGUUGCGAUAAGCUAUUGCUGCAACUCACUUUUUGUUGCCUUAGGUUAGCACCACGGAAAAUAUAGUGUUGCGUCAAAUCCUAGUCACCACGACUACAUGCUUUGUUGCGCUAGGAUGUAGCAACGAAGCAGUUUAUAUUGUUGCAAUAAAUUGUUACCACAUUUUUUUUGCA